UACGAAGGGGGCUAGCGUUAUUCGGAAUUACUGGGCGUAAAGCGCACGUAGGCGGGUUUGUAAGUAGGGGGUAAAAUCCCAGGGCUCAACCCUGGAACUGCCUUCUAAACUGCAAGCCUGGAGGUCAGGAGAGGCGAGUGGAAUACCGAGUGUAGAGGUGAAAUUCGUAGAUAUUCGGUGGAACACCAGUGGCGAAGGCGACUCGCUGGACUGAUACUGACGCUGAGGUGCGAAAGCGUGGGGAGCAACAGG
rnacentral:rRNA from 1 species